rnacentral:rRNA from 1 species
UACGUAGGUGGCAAGCGUUGUCCGGAUUUAUUGGGUUUAAAGGGUGCGUAGGCGGUCUUAUAAGUCAGUGCUGAAAUAUCCCGGCUUAACCGGGAGGGUGGCAUUGAUACUGCAAGACUUGAGUAGAGUUGAGGUUGGCGGAAUUGACGGUGUAGCGGUGAAAAUGCUUAGAUAUCGUCAAGAACACCGAUAGUGAAGACAGCUAACUAAGCUCUAACUGACGCUGAGGCACGAAAGUGUGGGGAUCAAACAGG